GGGGAGCAGGGUUCCUAAGGAGGUGGUUUCUUCUCCCCCAUGGGGAUGGGUUACUUAAGGAAGCUCUUCUAGUCCAUGGAAAAUGUUAUGUUUGUGAAUAUGUUUUGGUUUUGUUUUUCUGAAGAAAGGAUCGCUCAUGUACUAAGUUUUAGCUUAGUAAUCUCCCAAAUGGAAAAAAGCCAUUAUGUAAAGACAAGGUGAUUUGUGAGGAAGAAAAAUAAGCUCCCUGACUUCCUCCCGUGAACUGUGACCUUUGUCGCUUGUUCACUUGUCUUCUUCUGUCGCAGACAGACCGUGGGGUGCGGGGCCGGGGCUACUGAACUGAACUCACAGGCAGAGCAGGUGAGCAGCACGUCAUUCAGGUUCACAGUGAGGGGAGGCCUGUCGAGGGUUCCCUGGACCCCAGAGGCUCAGGGAGCUCAGAAUCAGGGACGGGCUCCCUGGAAGCAGGUGAGGCUGAGUGUGUGCCCAAGAGUGGCUGGUGACAGGCCUGGGCAGUGACUGCAGGCCUGAGAGGGUGAUGAGGAGCUAGCGUGGGAGCCUGGAGGAGGAGGCCGUGCCCCGGCCCUCCCCUGUGUCACUGCACUUCAGGUUGGCUGCGUCUCUGUAACCUCCAGGAGUCAAGCCUGGCCGUAAGGUGAAGACCGAGAAACCCCCUCCACACACCGCACUUGUCCGGACCCACAGGGCCAGGAGGUGGGGGCAGUGGCCCAGGCUGGCCUGACGUGGGCAGAGGUGCCAGGGACGGGCUGGCUGCCCCUGAGGCUGCAGGCACUUUAAACAGCGGGUCUGGGUCUCCCCCGAGGCCUGUUGUCCCUGGUGACCGGGUGACGGCACUGGACCUCCCUUGUCCCCACACAUGGAGAUUUAGGAAGGCAGCAGGGUUCACCGUUGUAAAAUCCGCAUCCCAAGCAAAUCCACACGAAACCUUCACAUGCAGUUCCUGUUGCUCUCGGGUCCCUGCCCAGCCUGACCCAUGGCGCCUUUUCGUCAGGAGUGCCGCCUUCCACGGGCACUCACCUGGCUCGCGGUGUGGUGUGAAGUGGACUUUGCUGGGUUGGAUGCAGCGUGCAGGGCUGGGGAGACCAGCGGGGCGUGGGGCAGAGGGCCCUGGGCCGUGUGGCUCUUGCUCCCCUAUCCCUGAAUCUUCAAGGGGCCCUUUGGCUCCAUGUCAGGGGCGACCCAGGCCCAGCCAACCCCCACAAACACGCAAAAGCCAUGUGGCUGGCCCCCGAGCACUGGUCUUGGGUGAGGCACAGAAGACCCUUGGUUCCAGCUUCUGUAACAACCAGCACCGUCCUGUCUCUUCACUGGUUUUCUCCUCGGAAAAGGGGGGCUAAUAGCACCUGCACCCCUGUUCUGUGCCCCCGUGAGCACCCCUCGCCUCAGUUUCGUGGGUGUUCACGGGGCGGGCAGUGGGCUCCAGGCAGAGCCUCCUUCUGAAGGGGUGAGGGCUUGUGCCCACCCUGGAGGCUGAAGCCCCUGCCUGCAUCGCUGGGGCCAUGAGCUGUCACCCUGCGGCGCAGGGCUUGUCGGGGGGAUUCCAUUCAUUCACCAGCACACACCUAGGGUGACCGCUCUGUCCAGGUGGAGACUGCCUGAGGCUGCGCUGGCACCAGCCGCCUGCACAGAGAGGCCCGGGCCGCUCGGGGAUGGCAGCGGGGCUGUGAGCCUGGGCGUGCUGGCGUACUGACCAUCACCCCCCCACCCCCCCCCGCCCCAGGAUCCAGGACACCGUGGGGACACGGCUGCUGAGCUGGUGCCUGCCUGCCUCACGCCCUCACCCGAGCUCAUUCAGCCUGGCCCGGCCCAGCAGAGUCGAGGGAGGAGACGGCCAGCUAGCGCUGCCUACAGACAGAGCCUGGAAGGAAGUGUUUAAUCUUCAGGAGGAAGAGAAAGGACCCGGCGUGGGAGAGGUCACUCUGCCUGGAUGACUUGGAAUUACUGUCUGGAAAGUAAGGAAGCCUGGGACCACCGACAGAUGCAGGGGGUCCAACCAGCCAGCAGAGUGAAAUUAGAAGCAACCGGCCUUAUAUCUGAGAAACAAGUACCUCUUCCUACUCUUGCUUUCAUCCUGAAAACCAAGUGUCUUUUCAAGACGCUACACAGAAAGCUAAAGCCAGAAACUUGCUGAUGCGUGGAGAAAACAUGGUGCUUUCACUGAAAAAUCGCUGUAUUUUUGUUUUCUUUCUAUAUUUUACAGCCACCUCCUAGCGGCAGUAUAUCUUUCUGUCUUCUAGGGCUCUGCUCACUUAGCCAAACAAGGCUGGCUGUUGCCUAUUGUAAGGUUCUUACACUACAAGUGAAAUGGAAUAAUGCCACUUGAGGGUGAAUAGUGAUGUAUUAAAACUGUGCUAUCAAUCCCAAAGCAGUCACAAACAUAAUAGAAUACGUACUUGUAAGUAAUUAUCCAAGCAAAGUGAUAAGUAGGGUUUACCUGGAAAUGCAAGUUUGGCUUAACCCUGGGAAAUCAGUUCCUGUAAUUCACAUUAACUGUAUUAACAAAGUAAA